UGGCACUACUUGUAUUCACUGUAAAUAUGGACGGACAAGAACUUGUGGACUUUGGUUGGGCAUAUGUGAGUUGUGGGUUGCCCUGGAGGGACCUAUGGAUAUUU